GACGAACGCUGGCGGCGUGCUUAACACAUGCAAGUCGAACGGAAAGGCCCUGCUUUUGUGGGGUGCUCGAGUGGCGAACGGGUGAGUAACACGUGAGUAACCUGCCCUUGACUUUGGGAUAACUUCAGGAAACUGGGGCUAAUACCGGAUAGGAGCUCCUGCUGCAUGGUGGGGGUUGGAAAGUUUCGGCGGUUGGGGAUGGACUCGCGGCUUAUCAGCUUGUUGGUGGGGUAGUGGCUUACCAAGGCUUUGACGGGUAGCCGGCCUGAGAGGGUGACCGGCCACAUGGGGACUGAGAUACGGCCCAGACUCCUACGGGGGGCAGCAGGGGGGAAUAUGGCACAAGGGGCGGAAGCCUGAUGCAGCAACGCCGGGUGCGGGAUGAGGGCCUUCGGGUGGGAAACCGCUUUCGCCUGUGACGAAGCGUGAGUGACGGUAAUGGGGAAAGAAGCACCGGCUAACUACGU
rnacentral:rRNA from 1 species